rfam:Triticum aestivum genome assembly, contig: Triticum_aestivum_CS42_TGACv1_scaffold_556112_7AL
AAUAUACUCUCUCCGCCCGAAAAUACUUGUCAUUAAAAUGGAGAUACAUCUCUUUUUAUCCAUUUUGAUGACAAGUAUUUUCGAACGGAGUGAGUAUAAU